rnacentral:rRNA from 1 species
CCCGCGUGUAUGAUGAAGGCCUUCGGGUUGUAAAGUACUUUUGGCAGAGAAGAAAAGGUAUCUCCUAAUACGAGAUACUGCUGACGGUAUCUGCAGAAUAAGCACCGGCUAACUACGUGCCAGCAGCCGCGGUAAUACGUAGGGUGCAAGCGUUAAUCGGAAUUACUGGGCGUAAAGCGUGUGUAGGCGGUUCGGAAAGAAAGAUGUGAAAUCCCAGGGCUCAACCUUGGAACUGCAUUUUUAACUGCCGAGCUAGAGUAUGUCAGAGGGGGGUAGAAUUCCACGUGUAGCAGUGAAAUGCGUAGAUAUGUGGAGGAAUACCGAUGGCGAAGGCAGCCCCCUGGGAUAAUACUGACGCUCAGACACGAAAGCGUGGGGAGCAAACAGGAUUAGAUACCCUGGUAGUCCACGCCCUAAACGAUGUCAACUAGCUGUUGGGGCCGUUAGGCCUUAGUAGCGCAGCUAACGCGUGAAGUUGACCGCCUGGGGAGUACGGUCGCAAGAUUAAAACUCAAAGGAAUUGACGGGGACCCGCACAAGCGGUGGAUGAUGUGGAUUAAUUCGAUGCAACGCGAAAAACCUUACCUACCCUUGACAUGUCUGGAAUCCCGAAGAGAUUUGGCAGUGCUCGCAAGAGAACCGGAACACAGGUGCUGCAUGGCUGUCGUCAGCUCGUGUCGUGAGAUGUUGGGUUAAGUCCCGCAACGAGCGCAACCCUUGUCAUUAGUUGCUACGCAAGAGCACUCUAAUGAGACUGCCGGUGACAAACCGGAGGAAGGUGGGGAUGACGUCAAGUCCUCAUGGCCCUUAUGGGUAGGGCUUCACACGUCAUACAAUGGUCGGGACAGAGGGUCGCCAACCCGCGAGGGGGAGCCAAUCUCAGAAACCCGAUCGUAGUCCGGAUCGCAGUCUGCAACUCGACUGCGUGAAGUCGGAAUCGCUAGUAAUCGCGGAUCAGAAUGUCGCGGUGAAUACGUUCCCGGGUCUUGUACACACCGCCCGUCACACCAUGGGAGUGGGUUUCUCCAGAAGUAGGUAGCCUAACCGUAAGGAGGGCGCUACC